UAGUGUAGUGGUUAUCAUGUUCGCCUAACACGCGACAGGUCCCUGGUUCGAAACCAGG
rnacentral:tRNA from 1 species